GAGGGUCACGUUUGCUCUUCCCGGGGGCCACUUCAGGACACAUUGGUGGUGGUCUCUUUAGUGUUUCAACAGAAGUUCUAACCAUUACUGCAACAUGGAAAUGUUCUCAGUAAAACUCUCUGUCUUCUUGUGACUCGUAGCAGUGCCUGAAGGAAGAAAGUACAUUCUCCAUUUCAGAAGAUAUCAGAUCUGCACAGACCGCCAAGCCUGUGAAGACGCGUAACAGUGCAAAGCUUUGCAAGAAACAAGGCCAGGUGACGUCUUCAGGGGUGAUUCUCGUGAGCAGCUUUCUAGGCGCUCGUGCUUGCGUGUUUAUUCUUGCAAGUGUAAGAAGACAGUGAAUGGGGAUUUCCCUGGCAGUCCAGUGGUUAAGACUCCAUGCUUCCACUGCAGGGGGCAUGAGUUCCAUCCCUGGUACCGUGUGGCGUGGGCAAAAAAAAGACAAUGAAUGACCUUACUGUCUGACUUGUCUGACUUUCUUUCUUUUUUUAAAAAAAUAUUUAUUUUAUUUAUUUAUUUUUUAUGGCUGUCAGGUCUUAGUUGUGGCACGCGGGAUCUUUUGCUGCAGUGCACGGGCUUCUCUCUAGUUGUGGCAUGUGGGAUCCAGAGCACGUGGGCUCUGUAGUUUAUGGCACACGGGCUCUAGUUGAAGCGCAUGAGCUCAGUAGUUGUGGCAUGUGGCAUUAGUUGCCCCGUGGCAUGUGGGAUCUGAGUUCCUCGACCAGGGAUUGAAACCGUGUCCUGUGCAUUGGACAGCAGAUUCUUUACCACUGGACCACCAGGCAGAUCCCCUGUCUGACUUCCUAACAGGAAUGUAUUGUGAAAUGAGUCUGUGGAGCCUGGGUGGGGGAAGUGGCAUUGGAAUAGCUGCUCCUCCUGUGCCCUUUCCCAGUGGGGUUUGUGCCCGGGGGCAGUGCACUGCCCUGGGUUCCACUUCUGACAAGGGCCAGGAGGGCUGAGACACGGAAGCUAUUUUCUGAAGCUCCUUUGGAGGCAGUAGAGGCGCACAGUCUGGAUUUGUUGCUCCUCUGAUGGAAGCCUCUGUGGGGAAGGGCAGGGCAGGAUGUGGUGAGUAAAGCAGUCACUGGGGUCUGCGACCUGGGUGGGUGCUGCCUGUGGGGUGUGGCCCACUCACAGUGUGCUCUCUCUCCUGCACAAGGUUCCGAGGCUGCAAGGCCCUGGGGACGAGAGGAAGAUGGCCCUUGGUGAUCUCCAGGUGUCCUCUGAGGAUGGGGCACUGCAGGCUGUGCCCAGCGGCCAGGAUGGUGGGAAGGCUGUGUGGCCCAGCACCCUGGGAGAGGGAGACAAGGAGCAAGUGGACACAAGCCAGGGAAAGGAUGGGGUGAAAGUGAAAAGCAAACAGAAAAAAAAAAAGGAGAACAUAUCGGAAGAGCAGAGGCGGGAAGGGCUUAAGGAGAAAGGUGCUGGGAGACAGACCAAGGCUUCGAAGCUGGAGGAGGGCAGCGGGGACUGGAGGGGUGCAUGUGGACACAGCAGGAGGGCGCCUGCGGAGAGGGGGCGCGGGCCCAGCGGGGAGGCGGUGCAUGGAGGCGAUGGGGACGCGGGAGCCGAGAGCCGCAGGGAAGACGCGCAGGCGGAGGCGGGGGGGGGGGGGGGGGGGGAACGUCCACGACGGGGCAGCUAGCCUACACCGAAAAGGUGGGAGAGUUGGUGGGGAGAAAGCAGCUACGAGGGAAUGUCGAGGAGGGGAAAGACAUGUGGGCUGGAGAAACUAAGAAGAAAAUGAAAAAUGUGCUGGUAACGAGUCCGCAUCAGAGACUGUGGUUUCCAGAAAAGUCAAAAAAAGGAAGAAGGACAACGUGGGCGGAGCAGGGGCUCCGGAAGCAAAGGAACAGAGACAAGGGGAUGGGGAGCUGGGGGGGGAUGGGCGGGCGGAGAGGGCCAUCAGGUGUGGACUGGGCCGCCCCGGGAAGGACGUACAGUGGGAGAAGCGACGGAGAGAGGAGAUAAGUCGGUGUGGCCUGGAGCAGGGCAGAGGCCAAGAGGAGGAGCCGGUCGGUGCAACGUCCGGAGGGAGAGAGGAAAAGGGACCACGAGGCCACCAAAGGGCCGGAGGAGGAGGGAGAAGGCAGGUGGAGAUGGUAAGCCCGCGCCGGCCCCGCCCCCGCCCUGGCCCCGCCCCCACUGCCCAUCACCACCCCCUGCAGGCCGUGCCCCGCCCCUCACCCGGUCACCACCCCUGUAGCCCCGCCCCGGGCUCACGGCCCGCCUCCGCCCCACCCCCACCCGCGGUCUCUUUCACGCCCACGUGUGGGCCUAAAGAGAAGGUGGCUGUAAGUGCUGGCUUUUGCUGCGGCUGUGGGCCUGUCGGGGAGGCGUGGUGGGUAACGCCAAAAUAUUGUAGGGCGGGGGCAGCUUUGAAAUGUAGGUGUUACCGGGUGCUAGUGAGAACCAGCGUCCGUGAUGCACUUGGCUCUGUGUCUCCAUUGCUUUUGGCCAGUCCUUGGCGAGGUAGGUGCUGUUAUCUCCACUUACCAGGUUAGGAAACUGAGGUACAGAGAGGUUAAGCAACUUGGCCGUGGUCACAGGGACACUAAGCAGAGGAGCACACAUUGGACACCGCCGUCUUAACCAUUCCUCCUGGGCCGUCUAGCCUGCAGCCACCAGCCGCGUGUGGCUGUGAGCUCCUGAGAUGUGGCUGGACCCGGUGGGGACAUGCUGUGGGUGUAGAGUUCAUGCUGACGUCAAAUAGUAGGAAAAAGAAUGUGAACUCAUUUUUUAUAUUGAUCACACAUUGUAGUGACAAUAUUUUAAAUAUUUUGGUUGAAGUUAAGUAUAUUGCAAAAAAUCAAAUCGGUUUAAAAUUCACUUGUGGCUUGUGUCACAUUUCUGCUGGUCAGUGCUGUUUCACACCUUGUGAAGGGGGGCAGCAGAGACCACAGGAGGGGCUGCCAGCUUUGGGAUCAGAAUGGUCUUUAUUGGUAUCAGAUCCUGCUUUCAGCAACGAUAUGAUUCUGGGGAAAUUAGAUUUUCUGAGCCUCUUUUUUCUUGUAUGUGAAAUGGGGUACUCUUUGUGGAGUUGCUAGUAUGAGGAGACAUGUGAAGGCUUACGAAGUGGGUGGGUGUGAAGUGGCCUCUCAUUGUGGGUUCGAUUUGGAUUUCCCGGAUGGGUAAGGAUGUUGAGCAUCUUUUGUGCUUAUUGACCGUUUGUAUAUCUUCGGAGAAACGUCUGAUCAGUUUCUUUGUCUAUUUUUUUUUUAGUUGGGUUAUUUGUCUUUUUAUUGUUGAGAUGUAAGUGUUCUUUAUAUAUUCUAAACAGUAGAUUCACCAAAUACAUGAUUUGCAAACAUUUUUUCCCUUCCUGUGGAUUGCCUUCUCAUUUUCUUGAUGGUGUCCUUUAAAGCACAAAAGGUUUGAAAAUUUGAUGAGUCUACUUUAGCUGUUUUAUUUUUCCUUGCUUGUACUUUAAAAAAAAAAAUUGUUUUAUUUUUGGCUGCGUUCAGUCCUUGUUGCUGUGUGUGGGCUUUCUCUAGGUAUGGCGAACGGGGUCUACUCUUCGUUGUGGUGUGCUGGCUUCUCAUUGCAGUGGCUUCCGUUGUUGCAGAGCACGGGCUCUAGGCUCGCGGGCUCAGUAGUUGUGGCAUGUGGGCUCAGUAGUUGUGGCACAUAGGCUUAGUUGCUCUGCAGCAUGUGGGAUCUUCCCAGACCAGGGAUCAAACCCGUGUCCCUUGCAUUGGCAGGCGGAUUCUUAACCGCUGCGCCACCAGGGAAGUCCCUGUUAAAUCAGAAUGUGAGUCCUCUAACCUCGUUUUUCUCUUUCAAGAUUGUUCUGGUUAUUCUGGAUAGCUUGUAUUUCCAUGUGAAUUUUAAGAUUGUUGUCAGUUUCUGCAAAGAAGCCAACCUUUUGAUGGGGAUUAGGUUUUUCUGUGGAUCACUUUGGGGAAUAUUGCCAUCUUAGCAAAAUGAGUCUUCCAAUCCAUGAAUAUGGGAUGACUUUCCAUUUACUUAGAGCUUCUUUAAUUUCUUUUGGCAUGUUUUGUAGUUUAAAGUUUACAAAUAUUUAAUUUUUUUGGUUAAGUUCACUCCUAGCUAUUUUCAUUUUUUGGUGCUACUGUAAAUGCAGUUGUUUUGUAAUUUUCUCAGGUAAUUCACUGCAGGUGAAAAGAAAGAAAACCAAUUUUUGUAUAUUGAUCUUGUACCCUGCAACUUCGCUGAAUUAAUUUAUUAGCCCUAAUAAUUUUUCGUUGUUGUUGUAGAAUCUGGUGGGUUUUCUAUACACAAGAUCCUGCCAUCUGCAAAUAAAGACAGUUUACUUCUUCCUCUCAAAUUUGGAUGCCUUUUACGUCGCUUUCUUGCUCGUGUGCUCUGGCUAGAACCUGGUGUGGGGACAGGGCGCCCGCUUGUGGGUUGGUGCCCGGCUGCUGGGUUGGUACGGGAUGCCUCGUGGCCGGUGUCCAGGGCAGAGUGGAGCUCCCCUGGCCUGUGGGGACGGGUCAGGGAUGCGCAGGUCCCCAGGCCGAGCCAUCCCCGCGGGGCCACCCGCACGGUCAGGCCCCCGCCCGGUCUCUG